CACGCGGUGUAUUAAAAGCACACAGAACAUAUAUAAUAAUUGUCAAAAUUGUUGACCGCUUUCCGCGAUGCCGAUUGGCUGCGAUUGAGAUCGCGCGCGCGCGACAGUCGACAGCUCGCGUUUUGACGAGCGGUGAACGGUAAGGUCAGAGGUUAAGUGCAUGGUGGCCGUUGGUGAGGUUGUGUGUGUAGUGUGUGCAACCGCUCUAGGCAAAGGGCCUGGUUGUUCCACCUUUUGGUGGAACAACCGGGCCAAGAUCUGCAAAAGGUGGAACAGCCGGGCCAAAGUCAAAUCUGUAAAAAGUGGAACAACUGCGGGCCAAGGUCUGCAAAAGAUAGCAAAAAGCUCGAUCAUAAACAAACGCCUCUGCCAAUCAAUAAGAAAUAUUAUCAAAUUAUGCAAAGUAAUGCAGAUAAGUUGAAUUCUGCAAUAAUAUAUGAUAGAGAUUUUAAUUAUAGUUAUGGUAAUCUUUAAAAUGAUGGAAAGAGUGAUCACUUGUUAAAAGUGAAUGGAAGAAUUGUUGAGAGAGCACAUGUUAAUGCGAGUUGCUGUAGAUAUUCACAGCGAAGAUUAAGAUUAUUGAAACAUAUAAUUUUAUGUCGAUGCAGUAUUUCGUACAUGCUAUACAGACAAUAAGUACUGCAUAUGCCGUUACACAACAAAUAGCUAGCUUAUUUUUAUUGUUUGGUGAUAGCAUUGAUGCAAUAUUGAAUACAUAGGAAUGAUUCGCUAUUCUUUAUCAUCAUAAUGGCGAAGUAGGUUUCGUGCAUUGAAUUUGGGCAAAGAUAUGCCUAUAAGAGGCACAGAGAGUGUGUCGGAUGGAUUGGUACCUAUGUUAAAAGCAUAUAAUACAGCCAUUGAGACUGUCUUCAAAAAGGGUAAAAAUGAAGGACCGAUUACUGUAUAUUUAUGCUGAUAUCUUUGAAUUCUUGGAUCUCAAAAGAAGUGUGAGGAGUAGUUUUGAGAACAUGUGUUAUAGGUUGUGGACUCCACAUUUCAAUGAAGUUUUCAUCAUGAAACGCGUUUGUGAUGAUGUAUCUAACCUAAUGUGUCCGCAUGAGUGCCCUGUAUUAAUUGAAACUUGGGGUGAUGAAUUUGAAGCUUUGUGUACCAGAUAUGAAAAAAAGGAUAGGUUCUCGAAGACAAGUUAAAGCCAGGGAGUUGAUGAGGUUUCUCAUCAUUCAAAUACAAUUUGAAACAGGAGUACCAUAUAUGCAGUUUUUAAAGAUCAUUGUAAUCGCAAAUUAAAUCGUCAGAAUCUGGGUACAAUUGAAUACAACAGUUUCUCUACUGAAGUACUUCCAAUGAAGUUGUCAUGUGUAACAUAUGGCUUCAAUCGCUGUCAACAUGUUUAUGAAUUCUACUUUCUAAAGUUCUCAUAAAGAACUUUCAAUUUUUAUAAACUUAACAAAGUAGCGAAAAUUGUCACCUACAAUUGGGAUAAAAUGAUUGGUAUUAAUUUUUAUUUUCUGCCAGAGGUGAAAUUGUUAUGUGAUACACACAGGUCUAUCGGUAUUAUUGUACAAGGAUUAGCAGAUGCAUUGAUUUCAAUGAGAUACUCAUUUGAAAGUAACAAAGCUAAGGAACUCAACGUCCACAUUUUUGAGACUUUAAAUUAUUAUGGUGCUCUAGAAACAAGUUGUGAAAUGGUUACUGAAAAGGUCCUGAUGAGUCAUAUGAAGGGCAAUCCAGUCAGUAAAUGUCUUGGUAUCUUAUCAAUCAGAAACAUACAAAGAAGAUGAACUUUGUACUUAAAAAGGUGUGAAAAAUAUUGAUAACUAACACUAUGAUUACUUGAGCAAUAAACGGCCAGAAACCACAUUAAAAACUUAUGAACGAAAUAAUACAUCAAAGUUACAUUUGUACAAUAAAUUACAAACAGACAAUGAAAAUGUACCUGAAAAAAUAUAUUACAAUUUGGAUGCCAAAAAACUUGUGGACAAACGUUUAGUCGCUGAUCGAACACUCAUUACCAUAUUUCACAAAAUGGUGCAACAAGAGGCGGUGGUCGUAAGAAAUGCCAUGAAGCGUUAUGGGAAAGAGCAAUUGGUGCUUAACGAUUUGAAUAUGACCGUUUCCAGGGGUUCUAUAUAUGGAUUGCUGGGAGCCAGUGGAUGCGGCAAAACUACUCUGUUCUCUUGCAUCAUCGGGCUUCAAUAUUUUAACAGCGGAGAGGUACGUGUCUUUGGGGCAACUCCAGGCAGCAAGGGCUCCGGCAUUCCUGGGCCACGAGUGGGUUAUAUGCCGCAAGAUAUCUCCUUGACAGAAGAAUUCUCAAUAAGCGAUGCCUUCUAUUACUUCGGCAGGAUCAAUGGGCUCAACGAUGAGGAGAUCGGGAUAAAACAGACCUUUUUCUCAAAAUUUCUCCAAUUAUCCCCGUUGGAUCGCCGAGUAAAGAAUAUGAGUGGAGGUGAACAAAGGAGACUUUCCUUUGCUUGCGCAUUGAUCCAUAAACCCGAGCUAUUAAUUCUCGAUGAACCUACUGUGGGUUUGGAUCCACUUUUAAGGGAUAUUAUUUGGACUUAUAUGACAAAACUUACGAAAGAGGAAGGCGUCACCGUACUCAUUACGACGCAUUAUAUCGAGGAGGCCAAAGAUGCUAAUAAAAUCGGUUUGAUGAGAAAGGGUAAAUUGCUAACGGAAUCGGUACCGGAUAAAUUGCUGGAGCAAUUCCGAUGCUCGCUCUUAGAGGAAGUUUUUGUGCAAUUGUCCGUUAGACAGGAAGAAGAGAUUACUUCGAAUGAAAGUCAAAGAUUGCCGGAGGAGACCAGUUGCGACGCGAUGACUCAAGAUAGAUAUGAAUCAACAAAUGAAAUCUCGGAGAACAAAGCGAUUUGGGGAAGUCAAGUUUCGAGAGUGAAGAAACUCAAAGCUCUGGUAGGAAAAAACCACAUCCAAUUUAUCUAUCAUUAUCUAGGCUUCAUUUUUCAUCUUUUCUUCUUGCUAUUUUAACCCAACGUAUACUUUGUGGCAAAUGGCGGAGAUCCGAAGGGUCUCACGCUUGGUAUUAUCAACGAAGAAGCCGGAAAUUGUAAUUUCGGCAGCGACAUUGGCAAUGUUUGGAAAAACGAAAGCAUCUGCACUUUUGACAAUCUCAGCUGCAGAUUUCUGCACCAUUUUGACGAUUCUAUCGCAAUUCAGGAAUAUUACCAUAACAUUUCUGAAGUGACACGUGACCUACAGAAUGGAAAACUCUGUGGUACAAUAUAUUUUAGUCAAAACUUUUCCAAAGGUAUGCAAAACCGAGUGGAAGACUAUCUUUACGCAGAAGAUUCCGAUCUUAACGCUAGUCUAAUUUCAGUUGCCCUCGACAAGAGUGAUAUACAAAUUAGGUCUUUUAUAAAGAGAAAGCUAUCAAAUCGUACGAUAGAGGUUAUGAAGGAUAUAUGAGAUUGCAAAUAUUCAAUAAAAUUGACUGAUCUACCCAUUAAAUUCGAAGAUCCUAUUUAUGGUAAAAAUGACUACAAUUAUAGAGAUUUCACGAUACCGUCAACCAUAUUGACAUUUAUCUUCUUUUUGAUUCUCACAAAUUCUACCAACCUGAUAUGCACAGAUAGAUCGAAAGGUCUCUGGAACCAAAGUGCGGUCCAAGGGAUCAAGGUAGAAGAAAUCCUGCUAUCUCACAUUCUUUACCAGAGUUUAAUUAUACUUAUCGAUACCAUCGUGUUAAUGCUUAUAUUCUUUAUUGCAUGGAGUAUCGAUUAUAAGGGAUCGUUAUUUGCCAUAUUCCUCGUCAUCUUUCUCAGCGGCUUUUGCGGAUUGAUGUCCGGUCUAGCUAUCUCUGUUUUCUGCAAAAAUUCCACCAUGGCGAAUUUCUGUGCGGCUGGAAGCUUUCUCAUGCUACUAAUGGUUAGCGGUAAGUCGUCAUCUGUUUUAUAAAAAUUGCUAUUAUACUUCAAUUUAAUAUUGCUAAAUAGUAACAAGUCGUAUCAAUUAUUAAAUUUAUUAAAUUUAUUAUUCUGAAUUCAAAUUCCUUUAUCACACACGUAGUGAUACAUUGCAUUAAUAAUACAAUAGCAACAUAAAAAAUUAUAACAAAUGUUAGUGAAAAUUAACAUUAAGUACAUUUCGCUAAAGACGGUUUUACGUUAACCAAGUUUUUAUUAUAUGUAGAGGAGAAGAGGGUAUUAUGGCUACUGUGGACAUUAUGGCUACCCCCAUUAUCUCCGUUAUUAUUAAGUGAUAAGUUCUAACAAUUGUUUAUGGAAUGAUUUAAUUAGUAGCCCGCCGCUUUUUUAGCAUGGUGUUAAUAUGCCUAUUGUGUAUUCACAAUAGCUAACAAUUGUUAUAAAGCAUUUUUACUUUUGAACAUUUCUAAAUUUUUUCAAUGUACAUUUUAG